GAUGAAGAACGUAGUGAAAUGCGAUAAGUAGUGUGAAUUGCAGAAUUCAGUGAAUCACCGAAUCUUUGAACGCACAUUGCGCCCCUUGGUAUUCCAUGGGGCAUGCCUGUUCGAGCGUCAUUUGUACCUUCAAGCUUUGCUUGGUGUUGGGUGUUUGUCCUGAGGGACUCGCCUUAAAGUAAUUGGCAGCCAGUGUUUUGGUUUUGAAGCGCAGCACAAGUCGCGAUUCAAAGCUAUACGCCAGCUUCCACAAGCCUUUUUCACUUUUGACCUCGGAUCAGGUAGGGAUACCCGCUGAACUUAAGCAUAUCAAUAAGCGGAGGA
rnacentral:misc_RNA from 1 species